rnacentral:rRNA from 1 species
UACGUAGGGGGCUAGCGUUGUCCGGAUUUAUUGGGCGUAAAGAGCGUGUAGGCGGCCAGGUAGGUCUGCUGUGAAAACUCGAGGCUCAACCUCGAGCUGUCGGCGGAAACCAUCUGGCUAGAGUCCGGAAGAGGAGAGUGGAAUUCCUGGUGUAGCGGUGAAAUGCGCAGAUAUCAGGAAGAACACCCGUGGCUAAGGCGGCUCUCUAGUACGGUACUGACGCUGAGACGCGAAAGCGUGGGGAGCGAACAGG